GACGAACGCUGGCGGCGUGCUUAACACAUGCAAGUCGAACGGUGAAGCGAGUGCUUGCACUCGUGGAUCAGUGGCGAACGGGUGAGUAACACGUGAGUAACCUGCCCAUCACUCUGGGAUAAGCACUGGAAACGGUGUCUAAUACUGGAUACGACCAACCCUUGCAUGGGGUGUUGGUGGAAAGAUUUAUCGGCGAUGGAUGGACUCGCGGCCUAUCAGCUUGUUGGCGGGGUAAUGGCCCACCAAGGCGACGACGGGUAGCCGGCCUGAGAGGGUGACCGGCCACACUGGGACUGAGACACGGCCCAGACUCCUACGGGAGGCAGCAGUGGGGAAUAUUGCACAAUGGGCGAAAGCCUGAUGCAGCGACGCCGCGUGAGGGAUGACGGCCUUCGGGUUGUAAACCUCUUUCAGCAGGGAAGAAGCGAAAGUGACGGUACCUGCAGAAGAAGCACCGGCUAACUACGUG
rnacentral:rRNA from 1 species